AUCGCAGAAAUGUGGAUCUUAACUGCCCAUCUAACUACAGAACUUGUUCAUAACACAUCCCAAAACCUUCAGAAGAGACUUUCUUUUUUUCCAUCUAAAAACUUUUUACUGAAUUCCUGUUAACCCUAAGAUAAGGCCUCAAGUCCCCUUCCUAGCCUUCUACUUUAACCUCCAGAAUGCUGGGAUAACAGGUAUUGUCGCCACACCUGGUAUCUUAGGACAUAAAACUAUCCAGCACAAUUGACCUCUUGUCAACCCAACACAUAAACAAAUCACUGUAAAGUCACAACCUUUCUUUUCUUGUUCAUCCCCAAGAUCACACAUUAAUAUAAACAUCACAGUAUAAAACAUUUUACUAACUUAUAAAGUCCCACAGCCUUACAAAUCUAAACACUUUAAAAAUUCAGUCUUUUUAAAAAAAUCCAGUUUCUUUUAAAAUACAAAUUCUCUGUAAAACUCCAAAAUUUCCUUUUUUAAAAAAUGUAAAGUCUUUCAACUGUGGGCUCCUGGAACAUAAAAAAUAAGUACUUUCAUAUUUCAACCGGGGAAGAAAUAGGGCAAAGUAACUAUUUGAACAAGCAAAACCAAACUCCAACAGUGUAAAUAACUCGGCAUCCAGUGUCUGGGAUCCACUCCCAAUCUCCUGGGCUCCUCCAAGAGGCCUGGCUCACUUCUCCAGCUCUGCCUGCCCUCUGCAGCACACACAGCUUGUCAUCUAGGCUCCAGCUGGCUCCACUCCACAACUGCUGCUGUUCUUGGUGGCUAUCCUAUGGUACUGGCAUCUCCAAAAUGCUAGACUCUUCUGCUGAAACUCGGGUGUACUUUCAUCUUUGGGGACUCCAGCACUGCCACAUAGUGCCAAGCUUCAGCUGCUCUCCAUGACCCCUUCAUGCCUUCAAAACCAGUACCAUCUGGGUGACUCAUACUACCAAGUUCAGCUGCCGCAUGAGGUACAACCUUGGCCAUUUCUGGAACACAGCUUUCUGUGUGCUGACUCUGAGGAAACACUUCCCAGAAGACUUCAAGGGUCCCUAAAGGUGCCAUCGCCCCAGACAAUAGAAAGCAGUCUGGAGAACACGAUGCUCACAUUCCCAAGAGGCUGAAGAUGGAUGCCCCAACAUUACAGAGGAACCUUGGAGUGACUGUCCAGGCUGCCGGAUGUCUCUGUUCAUUUUUAGUUUUUGAAGUCACUUGCUCUGCACUUUCUGUUCACACAGGUAAUGUUAUAUCCUUCUCAGGUCUUUGAUGGGGUUGAAGAUUAGAUAGUUACAGUUACAGUUUCCCUUAGUCAUGAUAGAAAGUAAAUUAGGUACAAAACUUUGGACUCAUCAAGAGAGGAUAGAUAAUGGAGUAUUUUCUUUGAAUUUGCCAAAUACAAAUGGCCUGGGCAUUGUGAAUAUAAUUCUCACCUGAUAAUUGUUCUUUUUGUUUAUAGUUUUACUAUGUUAGAGUUAAAAAAAAAAAACCUUUCCUUUUUAUUUACACAAAAAGGGGGAAAUGUUGCAGAAUAUUCCUUUACACUGUGUGACAAUGUGUCACUGUGAUUGGUUUAAUAAAGAGCUAAGUGGCCAAUAUCUAUGCAGGAAGAUGUUAGGCAGGACUUCUGGGGACAGAGAGGUCUUGGGGAAGAAGAAAGGCAGAGUCCACAGCAAGAUGCAGAAGAAGCAAGACAUGUAGGAGGAGAGGUAAAAGCCACGAACCACAGGACAGCACAUAGGUUAAUAGAAAUGGGUUGAUUUAAGUUAUAAGAGCUAAUUAGAAACAAGCCUAAGCUAAGGCAAAGCUUUCAUAAUUAAUAAGUCUCUGUGUCAUUUUUUGUGAGCUGGCAGCCCAAAGAAAAAUCUGUCUACAAUGAACUGAACCAGGUAUUAAAGGAUUGCUUUGGUGUUUGUAUUUAGAACAGAGUGUGAGAGACACAAAUGAAAAGCAGGUAAGCUGAUUAGGAGGUCACUGGAUCACAGCUGCUUAUGGACAGGGAAAGAUGACGUCCAUGGGUUGGCCUUGUCAGGAGCAGGUCUGAGGGCCCUGAAAAGGUGAAGCCUGGCUUGAGUGAGUCUGACAAGAUGGAAAGAGCAACUGGGAAGACAGAAAAACGUUGGGCUGUGAAGGAGAGAAAAUGGACAAUAGCCGGAGGAGAUGCAAUUACCAUGUGUGCUGACAGGAAUAACCCACUGGGUGACAACUGCAUUAAUUUGCAUUCAUUUAUUGGCAUAGAUUAAUAUAUUAUCGGUUGAUAUUAAUCAUUUAUAUAGGAGGCGGGUAUAGUUGGACUUUCUUUGGACUGCCAGCUCCUGAAUAAUGACACAGAGAUUUAUUAAUUAUGAAAGCUUGGCCUUAGUUUAGGCUCUUUCCCAGCUAGCUCUUAAAACUUAAAUUAACCUGUUUCUAUUAAUUUAUAUUCUGCCAUGUGACUUAUUACCUCUCCUCAGUACCAUAUGCCUGACUUCCUCUAUGUCUGGCUGGUGAAUCCCUCUCCUCAGAUUCUUUUUCAGAGUUCCUACUUUCGCCUGGAAGUCCCACCUAUUCUCUCCUGCCCAGUUAUUGACCAUUUAGCUCUUUAUUAAACCAAUCCGAAGGUGCUUUAGGCAGGUGAGGUAAAAUAGAGACAUCUUCACACAGUAUACAAAAAGAUUAUCCCAACAGGAACACUUGCUACUCCAUUGACCUUGAGUAAAUGGAAGGAGAAAGGCUCAUCAACAUGGCAAAGGUGGUCCUUAGCUAAAGUCACGAAUAAUUUACCCAUAAGAGCAGUGGGGAGGGAGAGUAUGUAGUUCCAGGUGCAGAAAGGUGUGGACAUUGGUGGUAACAGCCACGAAAGUUAUAUUCUCACUCCUUUCAUUUUCUUAGGAAAAUUGGCAGGAUGAGGAAGGGAGAGGCAAUAGACAUCUGCAGGCCGGGAAGUAUGAAAGCUAGGUAUCUGAGAAACUGACCACAACCCAGAGGGUACAUCCCAGAAAGCACAUAGCAUGUGUGUUUGGAAGGUGUGGAGUGUGGGAUAAGUGUUCCUAAGAAAUGUGCAGCUAGGUAUCUGAGAAUCCAACCACCAUUCAGAAGGUACAUGGUAUGUGUGUGUUUGGAAGGUGUGCAGAGUGGGGUGACUCUGACAGAAAAAUGUGUGGCUACAAAAUUGGAGUCCAUUUGAGGCUGGGAUCCUUUAGUGUAAGCCUAGUCAGCCUCACUGUGUUUUUUCUGCUGUUAUGGUAUACUGAGUGGGUUCAGGCUGGGAACCUACUGGCCAUUCAGCUCUUUAUUAAACCAAUCAGAAGGCACCUUGGCAAAGACACAUCUUCACAGUGUACAAAAAGAUUAUUCCACAACAAUGACUUACUGAGAAGUCUCACUGGACAACAUACUGGCAACCAGGCCAAUGAAAAACAGCCCCCAAUCCACAUGCAUGCACGCGCGCGCGCGCGCGCGCGCGCACACACACACACACACACACACACACACACACACAGUGAGAGAACAUGGGCUACAUAAAUAAUUGAAUUAUGGAUGGGUAGAGUGUCAUGUAAUCUGGAAACAUGAGUUGGAAAUAGGGAAGAGGUAGAGAAAUAGUCUGGAAGCCACCAGGAGAAGAAGGCUGAAGGGCAGAGGUGGAUCCCAGCUGCACUAGAGAGGGCUGCAGGGGAAGAGUAUUCUCUGGGGAGCAGAGUUUCCAGUAUGCCAGGAAAGCAAAGUGACAUUUACAGAUAAGAGCAUAGAAAGAACCUGCAUGUGUGACCAAGUUUGACAAUACUAAAGCAUCAAAACACAAUGUCCAAGUCAUGCUGACAAUUCCAAAGUUAUCUGUAACUCACUGUACUUUUUGGUCCAAAAUAUACUUGGUGUCUAACCUGUGACCCAGUUGCCAUUCUUAUUUCCCAAGCAGACACAAUAAACAUAAUAUUCCCUAGAAAUAGCUCUAAACACAGGCUUGUGGUGAUGAAAGCCUGAGAAGCAAGGCAGUGGACAGUGACCCAGAAUGGUCUCUAGGGUGAGAUGCUAUGUGAGGUAGAGAGCAGGAGUGAGACAACUCUCUGGAUACUGUUCUGGGAGUCAGUGUGGAUGAGCACAUCAAAAAAAGAGUCAGGGCAAGGGAACAAGAAACCCGAAAAGCUUUAUGCUUUUAAUGAAGUAAUCUGAGACUCUAUGAUGCCUACAGUUCAGUGUUUCAAAAUGUCCAGUAACCAAUGGGAAAAGAAGUCUCAAACUCAGAAGAGAAGUGAAGUGGAGAGAUUUCUUAGGAGUCAUUCCACAGACGUGGAAGCCGAAAUGGGAGAGGGGUCACCCUUGUUGGAAAGAAUGCAGAGAGAAGGCUUCAGUGUGAGGCCCCAGAGCUGAUGGGCAACAGCUCCCCUGUGGGUGGCCAGCUUCCUGCUAAACAGUGAUCUUGCACUUGUACUUUAAUACAAAACAUAUUUAAUAUCUCUAUUUAUAUCUGAUUCAAGGGUGAAACUUUGAGACUGGUGAGGUGGGAGUUCUGUGCUGAGCCACAAGGCAAAGGAAGAAAUCUGUAAUACCAAUCCCAUCUACAGUGUUGAAUACAGUCUCCCCCAAAUUCACAUCCACCCAGAGCACCAAAGUGUGACCUUGUUUGAAAGGUGGUUCUUUGCAGAUAAAAUUAAGUUAAAAAAGAAAUCCUUCUGGAUUAUAACAUGCCGCGACCCACGCAGCUGGAGCACGAAAUCAGGCGAGGGACGCCGAGGUCAAACAGCACUCAAGACGCUCAGUCUCAGUUCGUCAGGGAAGCAGCUCUCUUUAUUCAUACCAACAUGGGCUUAUAUACCCCUCCAACAGCAGGGGUCAAGGAACGGCUACUCUGUAUCCAGAGGCAAGCCAGACACUGCUUUCCAAACAGGAAAAACCACAGGAGAACUGAUCUCCAGCACCCUCCGGAACCCAACUGCAUAUUUUUCACACAAACAACUUAACUGGGACAGGACAAAAAAGGACAUUUAAAAUUAAGGCAGCAAACUUAUUGCUGCUGACAAUAACAGGCUCUAAAUCCAAUGCCUGGUAUCCUUAUGGGAGGAGAUAGCACAGAGAUACCCAGGAAGGUCUUAUAAGAACAGAGGCAGAGAUGGGAGGCAACUUAACUGUACACCAACAAGGCCAUCAGCAACUAUGAAAAACAGAGACACAACGUUUCUUUCUGAGGAACUCUGUUUUCUAGAAUAAAUGACUAAAUCUCUUUUAGACAAUAGAUUUUGGGUGUUCAUUACAACAUCCAUAGGAAAAUAAUACGCUGCUUAUUUGAAAUUUGGUAUUUUCUCGUAGAUCUCCUAGCAUUAAGCUUGUGUUUUUGAAAUACUGUCUGAAGGGCCAAUGUGGUGGUUCAGCAGGUGAAGACAGUCAUUUGUCAAGCUUUAUGUACAGCCCCAUAUUUUUGACACACUUUCCUCAGAGAUGUGGGGGCCGGGGCCACUCCUCUUGCACAGGCGUAGCCUUAUGACUGCUCCAACCAACAGUUCUCGGCCAUGAUGCUAAGGCAGAACAAUAAGGCAGCACAGUGUCUACCUUAUUCAAUAGAACCCUCCUGUUUAGAGUCCUGAACUACUACAAAAUCAUCUGGCUAUCCUGAGGAAUGCUCACUGUAUUUAAAAAAAAAAAAAAAAAGCCCCAUAAGGCACAAGUCCCAAUUGGUAGACAGUCCAUGUUGAGGGAUAAGACCCAAAACCUCAAAAAUAGUGCAAUCAUCUCUAUGACAUCCUGACUGAUUUCCUGACCUACAGAAGCCAUGAAUAAAACAAAAAGGUUGUUUUGAUGCUUGAUUUUAGCCAACAGGCCAAGAAACAAUAGAAAUGGCAGCUUCAAAAGUAAAAAUUUUGAUGUAGUUAAUUUGCUACACCAAAACAGUGUUGUAAUCACUCAAUAUCACUGUAAAUGAACUCAACGAUUUUCCAAUCAACUCAGGAAAUUCACCACACUAGAAUAAAAGGUUUCCCAAAUACGAUGAUCUUUCACGUAUAUGGUAUCCUACUUGAUGUUUCCUGUUACAGUGUCAGAGCAAUGAAACUUAAGUCCAGACCCUUUGUUAAUGCUGUCGUCCACUCACUUCUUAGUUGUAAGAAAGAGUAACUAUUUGUUUCUUCAUUGCUGGGGGUGGAGCCCAGCUUUGCAGGUUAGGCCAGCUUUCUACCCCUGGCCUGGGAGAAUCGACCUUAGUUGUCGGGCUAAAAGAUACAGCUACUAGGCUUUGCCCUUUUAAGCUCUCAUUUCAAAUUCUAUUUGAAUGAAUGUGGUAAUAAAUUGUAUGCUCACCCUUUCCAUACCACUUAUAACUAUAAAGAUUUUAUUUCAUGUCUGUUCUAUAGUUCUACCAGGAAACACGUCAGCAGUAUUGUUGACAUUUAAAGGUCAAUAUCAUCCAAUCAUUGCUUGUAUUUGUAUUUUAAAGCUACAAAAAUUAACACCCAAUAAUGCUCUUGCCCCCUUCACUGUCUUAAAAUACAACAUAGAGUAUAGAAAACCAAGUCCCAUAAAUACACAAAACUCUCUCUGAACUAAGCAAACUUUCUUUUUCUACCUUUCUGGGAUGCAGGUUCACCACUUUGUGAUUUACUUCUGAGAGAAUGAAGUUAGAGAAUUGCCACCCCUAGGAGGCAGGAUUUUUUUUUUUUUAAACAGAGCUUCUGUGGUUUACAGACUUCAAGGUGGGCAUAUAGAAAUAUCCAGAUCUGGGAAUCAUUUAUUAAUUUAGAAUAAUCCUUCUAUACACUGUGUAAAUUAGACUGUGAUUGGUUUAAUAAAGAAGCUGACUGGCCAAUAGCUGGACAGGAUAAGGUUAGGUGGGAAAACCAGACUAAGAAUGCUGGGAAGAAAGAGGGCAGAGUCAGGAGACAUGGAUAGAAAACAGGAGGUGCAAGAUGAAAGAGAGGUAAUGCCAUGUGGCAGAAUGUAGAUUAAUAGAAAUGGGUUGAUUUAAGUUAUAAGAUUUAGCUAGUAAUAAGCCUGAGCUAUCUGCUGAGCACUUAUCAUUAAUAUUGAGUCUCCAUGACGGGCAGGAAAGAAAAGUCCACCUACAAACGGCAUUCCAGCAUGGGGCCAGCCUCUACCUGCAUGUGAACUUUUGUCCCUGCUCAAAACAAGAAAAUAAUACUUCUUUUAAAAAAAAUGGCCGGGCUGGAGAGAUGGCUCAGGGGUUAAGAGCACUGGCUGCUCUUCCAAAGGUCCUGAGUUCAAUUCCCAGCAACCACAUGGUGGCUCACAACCAUCUGUAAUGAGAUCUGGCGCCCUCUUCUGGCCUGCAGGAAUAUGUGCAGGCAGAACACUGUAUACACAAUAAAUAAAUAAAUCUUUAAAAAAAAAUGGCCUACAACACACUGAAUAUAAAAAAAAGGAAUCAUUCAUCUUAAUAUUCCAUACUUCAGAACCCAAAUUAAGUUAUGGUCUGACUGUCCCAGGAAUCAGGAGCAAAUUCCUAACUGUCCAGUUUCAACAGACAUGAGAGUCAAGUUCUCCCUAACUUAACCAUUAUGAAAAAGCAACCUAAAGUAAAUUGACGAUAACUAAUUAGGUUUUGGGUUUUUGUCUGCUUGUUUUUGUCCAUUGCUAUAAUCCUACUCCUGCCUUACAAGAAAAGUAGCUGUGAAAUGACCAGUUGCUUUUUGUUGUUCCACUGGUCUCUGACCCUCUAUUAUUCAUAAAACUAACUUAUUCUGCCUCAGUCUAUCAGAACACCCAUUUUAUGGAUGAAGUGUUGCCCAAUUCUGGGAUUUCACACAAAAACAUUAUCUGAAAAUUCUAAUUUUGUCCUUGGACACCCUUAUGAAAGUGGUUUUUUGUUUGUUUGUUUGUUUGUUUUUACCCUGCAAUUUCAGUUUGUGGUGAUUUAAAAGGGAGGAUAGAAAUGCUGGCUCAGCCAGGUGUGGUGGCGCAUGCCUUCGAUCCCAAAAGGUAGGGGCAAGUGGAUCUCUGGUUUGAGGCAGAGAAACUCUCAAAAACAAUGAGAGAGAGACAGAGACACAGAGGGAGAGACAGAGACAGACAGAGACAGAGAGAGGAGGAAGAAAAGAAAUGCUGGCUCAAUCAUCAGGAAAGAAGUCAAAGAGCUAACCUUGUGCCCCCAAAAAAAUAAAAACAAAGAAGCACGGUGGGGGGGGGGGACACGGUACACAAAGGGAAUAUAGGAAGGGGGAAAGACAAACGCGCAGGAGGAGGGGUGCACACUCAAACACUGCAGACUUAAAGAUGCUUUAAGCCGGCCGGAGUGCCGGCAUGAAGGCCACGGCUUGAAUCCCAUCCCUUAGACAAUCUUAUUGAGCUGGAAAAUUAGACAAAGCCUUUUGGACUUUUUAACUAUCCUUAAAACUUCAUCAGCUUUUCACGCCCAGCCUUUCAAGGUGCAAUAGUUGGACAGGACAAUCCAAAUGGUGAUUACAUUUAAAAUUACAGGCUAAGGUGUCUCAUCCCAGCCUUCAUAUAGACUGCUUCCACAGGAUCUCCAGCUCACAGAGGGAAGGCAUAAUAAACACAGCUCAAAGCCUCCAGAUAAAUCUAAUGGACCUAUUUUGUAGUUGUUUCCUUUUAACAGGACCUCCCAGCUUGGAAGGUGACGAAUUACAGUUUUACUCAAAAAAAAAAAAAAAAA